rnacentral:rRNA from 1 species
CAGAUUGAAUAAACCCGAUCUCGUCUGAUCUCGGAAGUCAAGCAAUCUCGGGCUUGGUUAGUACUUGGAUGGGUGACCGCUUGGGAAUACCAAGUGUGAUAAGCA